rnacentral:rRNA from 1 species
GACGGUAAGGUAUUGGCUUACCGUGGCAGUGACGGUUAACGGGGAAUUAGGGUUCAAUUCCGGAGAGGGAGCCUGAGAAACGGCUACCACAUCUAAGGAAGGCAGCAGGCGCGCAAAUUACCCAAUUCUAACAGCAUAAGAGAGGUAGUGACAAGAAAUAACAGUACAAGGCAGUUAAAAUGCUUUGUAAUUGGAAUGAUAGAAAUUUAAAUACUUUUUAAAGUAUCAAUUGGAGGGCAAGUCUGGUGCCAGCAGCCGCGGUAAUUCCAGCUCCAAUAGCGUAUAUUAAAAUUGUUGCAGUUAAAAAGCUCGUAGUUGAAUUUUUGCUAAAAAUAACCGGUCUGCUUUUAUUAAUAAAAGUGGUAUCUUGGUGUGUUUUUAGCAAUAAUGUCCUUUGAAAUGUUUUUUACUUUAUUGUAAAAAGCAAUUUUCAGGAUUUUUACUUUGAGAAAAUUAGAGUGUUUCAAGCAGGCUAACGUUUUGAAUACUGCAGCAUGGAAUAAUAAAAUAGGAUUUUAGUUCUACGUUAUUGGUUUUAAGAACUAAAUUAAUGAUUGAUAGGAGCAGUUGGGGGCAUUUGUAUUUAACUGUCA